UUCCCUACGGGAGGCAGCAGUCGGGAAUAUUGCGCAAUGGAGGAAACUCUGACGCAGUGACGCCGCGUAUAGGAAGGAGGUUUUCGGAUUGUAAAGCUCUGUUAGCAGGGAAGAGGAAGGACGGUACCUGCAGAGGAAGCCACGGCUAACUACGUGCCAGCAGCCGCGGUAAUACGUAGGUGGCAAGCGUUGUUCGGAAUAACUGGGCGUAAAGGAUGCGUAGGCGGUUAAACAAGUUAUAUGUUAAAUAUAUAGGCUUAACCUGUAGAAAGCAUAUAAAACUGUUUAACUAGAGUGCAGGAGAG
rnacentral:rRNA from 1 species